rnacentral:rRNA from 1 species
UACGAAGGGGGCUAGCGUUGCUCGGAAUCACUGGGCGUAAAGCGCACGUAGGCGGAUUGCUAAGUCAGGGGUGAAAUCCUGGAGCUCAACUCCAGAACUGCCUUUGAUACUGAGGAUCUUGAGUCCGGGAGAGGUGAGUGGAACUGCGAGUGUAGAGGUGAAAUUCGUAGAUAUUCGCAAGAACACCAGUGGCGAAGGCGGCUCACUGGCCCGGUACUGACGCUGAGGCACGAAAGCGUGGGGGAGCAAACAGG